ACUCCUACGGGAGGCAGCAGUGAGGAAUAUUGGUCAAUGGGCGAGAGCCUGAACCAGCCAAGUAGCGUGCAGGAUGACGGCCCUAUGGGUUGUAAACUGCUUUUAUGUGAGAAUAAAGUUAGGUAUGUAUACUUAUUUGCAUGUAUCACAUGAAUAAGGACCGGCUAAUUCCGUGCCAGCAGCCGCGGUAAUACGGAAGGUCCAGGCGUUAUCCGGAUUUAUUGGGUUUAAAGGGAGCGUAGGCUGGAGAUUAAGUGUGUUGUGAAAUGUAGACGCUCAACGUCUGACUUGCAGCGCAUACUGGUUUCCUUGAGUACGCACAACGUUGGCGGAAUUCGUCGUGUAGCGGUGAAAUGCUUAGAUAUGACGAAGAACUCCGAUUGCGAAGGCAGCUGACGGGAGCGCAACUGACGCUUAAGCUCGAAGGUGCGGGUAUCGAACAGGAUUAGAUACCCUGGUAGUCCGCACAGUAAACGAUGGAUGCCCGCUGUUGGUACCUGGUAUCAGCGGCUAAGCGAAAGCAUUAAGCAUCCCACCUGGGGAGUACGCCGGCAACGGUGAAACUCAAAGGAAUUGACGGGGGCCCGCACAAGCGGAGGAACAUGUGGUUUAAUUCGAUGAUACGCGAGGAACCUUACCCGGGCUUGAAUUGCAGAGGAAGGAUUUAGAGAUAAUGACGCCCUUCGGGGUCUCUGUGAAGGUGCUGCAUGGUUGUCGUCAGCUCGUGCCGUGAGGUGUCGGCUUAAGUGCCAUAACGAGCGCAACCCCUGUCUUUAGUUGCCAUCAGGUUAAGCUGGGCACUCUGGAGAUACUGCCACCGUAAGGUGUGAGGAAGGUGGGGAUGACGUCAAAUCAGCACGGCCCUUACGUCCGGGGCUACACACGUGUUACAAUGGGGGGUACAGAAGGCCGCUACCCGGCGACGGGAUGCUAAUCUUUAAAACCUCUCUCAGUUCGGAUCGGAGUCUGCAACCCGACUCCGUGAAGCUGGAUUCGCUAGUAAUCGCGCAUCAGCCAUGGCGCGGUGAAUACGUUCCCGGGCCUUGUACACACCGCCCGUCAAGCCAUG
rnacentral:rRNA from 1 species